CCCCUAGUAACUGCGAGUGAAGCGGGAAAAGCUCAAAUUUAAAAUCUGGCAGCCUCUGGUUGUCCGAGUUGUAAUCUAGAGAAGUGUUAUCCGCGCUGGACCGUGUACAAGUCUCCUGGAAUGGAGCGUCAUAGAGGGUGAGAAUCCCGUCUUUGACACGGACUGCCAGGGCUUUGUGAUGCGCUCUCAAAGAGUCGAGUUGUUUGGGAAUGCAGCUCAAAAUGGGUGGUAAAUUCCAUCUAAAGCUAAAUAUUGGCGAGAGACCGAUAGCGAACAAGUACCGUGAGGGAAAGAUGAAAAGAACUUUGGAAAGAGAGUUAAACAGUACGUGAAAUUGCUGAAAGGGAAACGCUUGAAGUCAGUCGCGUUGUCCAGGGAUCAACCUUGCUUUUGCUUGGUGCACUUUCUGGUUGACGGGUCAGCAUCAAUUUUGACUAUUGGAAAAAGAUUAGGGGAAUGUAGCAUCUUUGGAUGUGUUAUAGCCCUUAGUUGCAUACAAUGGUUGGGAUUGAGGAACUCAGCACGCCGCAAGGCCGGGUUUUUAACCACGUACGUGCUUAGGAUGCUGGCAUAAUGGCUUUAAUCGACCCGUCUUGAAACACGGACCAAGGAGUCUAACAUGCCUGCGAGUGUUUGGGUGGAAAACCCGAGCGCGUAAUGAAAGUGAAAGUUGAGAUCCCUGUCGUGGGGAGCAUCGACGCCCGGACCAGACCUUUUGUGACGGUUCCGCGGUAGAGCAUGUAUGUUGGGACCCGAAAGAUGGUGAACUAUGCCUGAAUAGGGUGAAGCCAGAGGAAACUCUGGUGGAGGCUCGUAGCGAUUCUGACGUGCA
rnacentral:rRNA from 1 species